GAUGAAGAACGUAGCGAAAUGCGAUACUUGGUGUGAAUUGCAGAAUCCCGUGAACCAUCGAGUCUUUGAACGCAAGUUGCGCCUCAAGCCAUUAGGUUGAGGGCACGUCUGCCUGGGCGUCACAUAUCGUUGCCUGAUGCCAGUUUCCUCGUGAUGGGUGACUGUGCAGGGCGAAUGAUGGCUUCCCGUGAGCAUUGUUGCCUCAUGGUUGGUUGAAAAUUGAGUCCUUGGUAGGGAGCGCCGUGAUAGAUGGUGGUUGAGUGACGAACGAGACCCAAUCAUGUGAGACCCCUACCGAAUUUGGCCUUCAUGACCCACAUGCGUCUUUGGAACGCUCAUUACGAGACCUCAGGUCAGGCGGGGCUACCCGCUGAGUUUAAGCAUAUCAAUAAGCGGAGGA
rnacentral:misc_RNA from 1 species